rnacentral:rRNA from 1 species
CUACGGGGGGCUGCAGUGAGGAAUAUUGCACAAUGGGGGGAACCCUGAUGCAGCAACGCCGCGUGGAGGAUGACGCAUUUCGGUGUGUAAACUCCUUUUAUAUGUCAAGAAAAUGACGGUAGCAUAUGAAUAAGCACCGGCUAACUCCGUGCCAGCAGCCGCGGUGAUACGGGGGUGCAAGCGUUACUCGGAAUCACUGGGCGUAAAGGGCGCGUAGGCGGGUUGGAAAGUCAGGUGUGAAAUCCUACAGCUUAACUGUAGAACUACACUUGAAACUUAUAAUCUAGAGUAUGGGAGGGGGAGAUGGAAUUAGUGGUGUAGGGGUAAAAUCCGUAGAUAUCACUAGGAAUACCUAAAGCGAAGGCGAUCUCCUGGAACAUUACUGACGCUAAGGCGUGAAAGCGUGGGGAGCAAACAGGAUUAGAUACCCCGGUAGUC